UUUGUGCAUACAUGUAUAUGACAAAUUAAAUAUGAUAUAUAAUUAUGAUUUUAAAAGAAUGUAUGACGAUUAUAACGAUUUUGAGGCUACAAUUGUGUAAAUCAAAUGAAUUACACGUAACACUAUCAAAUAGAUUACAUUGGAAAUCGAAUGAAUAUGUUUUUCGUUUCAAUCGAUUGACAAGGGAAGAUUUGUGUAAGAGACGGGUAUUUGUAGAAUUGUUAUUUUACCUGAGAUCCAUCUUAACACAUUCAAAUUAAUUAUUUACUGCGUCUUAGCCGCAUUGGUUUUUUUUUUAAUUUACAGUGAUUAUUAUCUCUACGCACCGUUUUGAUAAAUUGAAUUAACUUAUCUUUUCUUCGGAUGACUAACGUUAAUGGCUUAUUCGAGAAUUGAGCUCUGUGGUCAGAAAAAGGCAUUCCGAUUUUGUCAGGAAAUUGAAUAUUGAUAGGGUACAUUUACUUAUAAAAUAAUGAAUCAAAGGUCAAAAAGAGAAUUUAAAGUGGGACAACACUAAAAGCCUGUUUAAAUUGAGAUUACAAAAUUGUUUUAAAAUAAUAAUACAAGUUUAAUUUUAAUAAAAAUUAAUGUUUUGUUGCUUUCGUUUUCUUUCCAUUUCUUUUUGCUACUGUAAUUGUGCAAUGAAUAAGUUCCAACGUUUUCCUGUGCAAAACAAAUUGAUGGAUCGGGCCUUUAUUUUAAAUUCUCUUCGAUAUAUAUUUCUGGGGGUAAUUUUCUGAACUCAUUUUUUAAAUCACUUUAGAGGCGGAAGUGAUAAACUUUUCUUUAUUGGUAAGUAGACCUAUACUAUAUGUAUACUUAUUUGAUUGUAUUUAAUCAGUUACAUUAUAUAUGGCAUACGGUGUAAUAAUUAAUGUUCAGGAAACUGUCAAUAUUUGUACUCAAUCUAGCGGUUAUCGCGCUUUAUACAAAGAACAGGAAAACCAGGAAUAUUUUUUUCUAUUUUCUUAAUAAUAUGGUGUUAAAUAAAUAAUAUGAACGUUUUGAAAUAAAACAUGUGACCUG
rnacentral:sRNA from 1 species